GAAAAAUUAGGCUUCGACCCAAGAUGGGAAAAUUUGGUUAAGUUGUAAUGAAUCAGUUAGUUUUGUUGUGCUGGCGAACGGGGUUCCGAGGAAGGUGUUCAAGCCGUCCAGAGGUCUCAGACAAGAUAAGAAGAAAGUUUAUUGGAGAAGCUGGAAAAAGAUGGUGUGAGCAAGGAUCUUGGGGGAAUGGGUUAUCGAGAAUUCAAGAUUUUUAAUCAAGCUAUGUUGGCCAAACUUUGUUGGAGAAUCAUUAAAAAUUCAUAGUCUUAUGGUGAGAGUGCUGAAGGGCAAAUAUUUAAUAAGAGUGUUUUCAUGAGUGCAAAUCUUAGUCACAAUCCUUCGUACACUGGAAAAAUAUUAUUUGGGGGAGGGAUUUGUUUUCUCGUGGUGUUAGAUGGAGAGUUGGUAAUGGAAUGAACAUUUCUAUCAAGAACGACCCUUGAAUCCCAAAUGAUAAGAAAUUCAAACCAAGUUGGGUGCCUAAUAGAGCCAAGGAGUUGUUUGUGUCCUUGCUUAUUAAGGAAAAAAGAAAUUGGGAUGAGAACCUUAUUAGAGAGAUUUCCUCCCUCAUGAUGCGAAUGAAAUUCUGAGGAUCCCCUUAGAUAGGAGGAAGAUCGAUGAUGAGACGUUUUGGAGCUUCGACAAGAAAGGAGUUUUCUUUAUCAAGAGAGCGUAUCAUCUUGGGGUUCAACUCGACUUAUUUUCCAGGCCUUCUUCCUCAAACUGGAUAGAGGCUUCAAAGUCUUGGAAAAAUUUGUGGAAAACGAGGGUCAAACCAAAAAUUAAAAUCACCGGUUGGAGGACUUUUAACGAUUUAAUCCCUACCAUACAUAAUCUUCACUCUAAAGGAAUUCAUGCUAAUUCUCUGUGUUAUUUGUGUUAUUUGUGCAGGUCGCAUCAGGAGACUACAAGCCAUGUAAUAGGGAGUGUAAUUUUUCUAGGAAAAUUUGGAAUAUUUUUCUUCCAUCUUAUGUUGCUUCUUUUGAUGUCGGCAGAGGCGUUUGGAUGCCUUUGGAUUAUUGAAAUUUGUUGAGGUCGUUGUACUAUGGUGCUCGUGGAAUUUGCAAAACAAGGUGUGUUUCAAAAAGGGAAGUGUGAACCUUUCCUCCCUCAAGUUAAAAAUUGAGCCUCAUCUUCUUGAAGUUGAUGGGACAUAUGUCAUUCCAAAGCUGGAUUCUUUCGAUGCCCCUUCCAUCCCACCUCCUCCUUCAAGUUGGAUGUCGUCAGGCGUGGUAAGUGAAAACUAAUGUGGAUGCUUGGUUGAAUGCGAAAGGUAGAGAUGGUCUCGAAUAGAUUGUUCGCGAUCACUUGAGUCGUGCUCUUCUUGGUGGCUGCAAAUUCAAGAAACAAUGUUGGAGUGCUUGCGUGCUUGAAGUUGAAGCCCUUUUGAAGGGCCUUAUUGCAAUUGGCAAAGAAUGUGUGGGUUACUAACCCACACAUUGAGGUUGAGUCUGACUUUUUUGAGAUUGUCAAACUUCUUAACUGAGAGGAUCGUUCUUUUGUGGAGGUUGAAAUUGUUAUUGAGGACAUUUUUUUUGGUUAAAAAAUUUGUUAAUGUUGAGAGUUUUUGUCAUAUUCCUCGAGAGGAAAACAAAGGCGUCCAUGCUUUUGCGAC